rnacentral:rRNA from 1 species
UACGUAGGGGGCUAGCGUUGUCCGGAAUCAUUGGGCGUAAAGAGCGUGUAGGCGGCCCGGUAAGUCCGCUGUAAAAGUCAAAGGCUCAACCUUUGAAUGUCAGUGGAUACUGCCGGGCUAGAGUCCGGAAGAGGCGAGUGGAACUCCUGGUGUAGCGGUGGAAUGCGCAGAUAUCAGGAAGAACACCCGUGGCGAAGGCGGCUCUCUGGGACGGUACUGACGCUGAGGUGCGAAAGCGUGGGGAGCAAACAGG